AUGCAGUGUAUAAUGCUAUUAUAGUUACAGGGUGCAGUGUAUAAUGCUAUUAUAUUUACAGGAUGCAGUGUAUAAUGCUAUUAUAUUUACAGGAUGCAGUGUAUAAUGCUAUAUUUACAGGAUGCAGCGUAUGAUGCUAUUAUAUUGCCAUUAUAUCCACAGUAUGUAGCCUGUAAUGCUAUUAUAUCCGCAGGAUGCAGUGUGUGACGCUGUUAUAUCCACAGGAGGCAGUGUGUGACGCUAUUAUGUUUACAGUAUGUAGCCUGUAAUUCUAUUAUAUCCGCAGGAUGCAGUGUGUGACGCUGUUAUAUCCACAGGAGGCAGUGUGUGAAGCUAUUAUGUUUACAGUAUGUAGCCUGUAAUGCUAUUAUAUCCACCAGAGGCAGUGUGUGACGCUGUUAUAUCCACAGGAGGCAGUGUGUGAUGCUAUUAUGUUUACAGUAUGUAGCCUGUAAUGCUAUUAUAUCCACAGGAGGCAGUGUGUGACGCUGUUAUAUCCACAGGAGGCAGUGUGUGACGCUAUUAUAUUUACAGUGCGUAGCUUGUAGUGCUAUUCUAUUCACAGGAGGCAGUGUGUGAUGCUGUUAUAUCCACAGGAGGCAGUGUGUGACACUAUUAUAUUUACAGGAUGCAGUGUAUAUUGCUAUUAUAGUUACAGGAUGCAGCGUAUAAUGCUAUUAUAUCGCCAUUAUAUCCACAGUACGUAGCCUGUAAUGCUAUUAUAUCCACAAGAUGAAGUGUGUGACGCUGUUAUAUCCACUGGAUGGAGUGUGACGCUAUUAUAUUUACAGUACAUAGCCUCUAAUGCUAUUAUAUUCACAAGAUGCAGUGUGUGACGCUGUUAUAUCCACAGGAGGCAGUGUGUGACGCUAUUAUAUUUACAGUGCGUAGCUUGUAGUGCUAUUCUAUUCACAGGAGGCAGUGUGUGACACUGGUAUAUCCACAGGAUGCAGCACGUGACACUAAUAUAUUCACGGGAGGCAGUGUAUGAUGAUAUUAUUAUAUUCAAUAGUCAUGGUGUGUGAUCCUGUUUAAAGGGCACUAUAUAUGAUGCUAUGAGGAUUCCUCUAAGUGUAGAAUGUGGGGUAGCAAAGAGCUGAAGACAUCGGCAGAGACAAUUUACCACCCCACCUGACAACUCUGGAGGAGGCGUGGCCAGCUAAUUAAGGAUCCUUAAAUACAGCUGCUUCAGUGCAGUUCAAGCUCCAUGCAUGAGUGAGGACAGCUGUGCAGCAGACUUUUGGAGGGAAACUGUGACCAUAUUACCAGAUGUCUGCCCCAACCGGGAGGAGCUGCUAUUGGAAAGUUAAGUAUCUAGAUUUAUCACUUCUGCCAUGUCAUUGUUGUAUAACACUCUAUCUUUAUACUUCAUCCAGAAGGUGUUCAUUAUAUACCUUGUCUGUUUUUGUGAUAACCGUUAUGGUCAGCCCCAUCUCUAGUACCGGCAGGUUAGAUAGUGGCUAUCUAUGCAUGACUUGUUCCAUUGCUAACUUGGGGGAGUUAUCAAUGUGGCACCAUGUGUAGAUAGCCAUAAUAACUAGUUAAACCUAAAGAAUCAGUUAGUGAAACUGUAGAUUAGUCACCUAUUGUAAUAAAUCUUUUCAAAAUGGCAAUUUACCAUAUAAUUCUAUGGUGAAUGUCAGCCCCAUCUCUAGUACUAGCAGGUUAGAUAGUAGCUACCUAUGCAUGACUUGUUGCAUUGCUAACUUGGGGGAGUUAUCAAUGUGGCACCAUGUGUGGAUAGCCAUAAUAACUAGUUAACCCUAAAUAAUCCAGUUAUUUCUGUUAUUGUAAUAUACUAUUCAGCAUCAGUAGAACAAUAGUCAGUGCCUACUAAAUGAAGGUAGGAAUUAAUUAGGAAAGUCCUAGCUGUAAGUAUGGCUGAUACCUUGACUGAGGAUUUGCAGCCACUAUCAUUGUUUGUUUUUUUACAUGCAGCUUUUUUAUCUUUUGUUCGUCUUUGUUGUUGUUUUUCAAGUUGCUUCAUUUUCUAACAGAUUUUGUGUCUUUCUCACAAGUAUCUAGGUAGGUUUUUUUUUUUUUUUAGAAUUCUUUUCCUGUAGAGCAAGAAUAUUUGAUGCUGCCUGCUAGCCCUGGACACCAAUACCCAAGAAAGAGUGAGACGACCAUCUGCCCAGACUGGAAGGAGCUACGAUGAGAUGGUAAGGCCUAUGCCAUUGACUUGAUCUAAUAGCCUGUGUCUUUGUGCUUCAUCCAGAAGCUGUUCUAUUGUGUAAGACAACCCACACUGUCAGACCAAUAAGUUAUUAACUUUGACCUAUGUCAUAUUCUUGUUCUAGAAGUAUCUAUCAGUUUGCUUUCUCCAGGUAUUCCUUAUCUUCCCUGGCUGGAAUUGUGGACCUACACGUAAGUAAAUAAAAGCAUGUCUGUUCUUGUCAAAAUGUGUUAUAUUUAGGGGGUAAUUUGUUUAAUGACUGUCUCUUGCCUUUGCCAGUCGCCGCCUACCGUGGCAGUCUUUGCCAAAUUUGGCAAUUUACCAUAUAAUUCUAUGGUGAAUGUCAGCCACAUUCCUAGUACCUGCAGGUUAGAUAGUAGCUACCUAUGCAUGACUUGUUGCAUUGCUAACAUGGGGGAGUUAUCAAUGUGGCACCAUGUGUAGAUAGCCAUAAUAACUAGUUAACCCUCAGUUAUUUCUGUUAUUGUAACAUACUAUUCAGCAUCAGUAGAACAAUAGUCAGUGCCUAUUAAAUGAAGGUAGGAAUUAAUUAGGAAAGUCCUAGCUGUAAGUAUGGCUGAUACCUUGACUGAGGAUUUGCAGCCACUAUCAUUGUUGUUUUUUUACAUGCAGCUUUUUUAUCUUUUGUUCGUCUCUUUGUUGUUGUUUUUCAAGUUGCUUCAUUUUCUAACAGAUUUUGUGUCUUUCCCACAAGUAUCUAGGUAGGUUUUUUUUUUUUUAGAAUUCUUUUCCUGUAGAGCAAGAAUAUUUGAUGCUGCCUGCUAGCCCUGGACACUAAUACCCAAGAAAGAGUGAGACGCCCAUCUGCCCAGACUGGAAGGAGCUGCGUUAAAACGAGCAAGAAUAUUUGAUGCUGCCUGCUAGCCCUGGACACAAAUACCCAAGAAAGAGUGAGACGACCAUCUGCCCAGACUGGAAGGAGCUACGAUGAGACGGUAAGGCCUAUGCCAUUGACUUGAUCUAAUAGCCUGUGUCUUUGUGCUUCAUCCAGAAGCUGUUCUAUUGUGAAAGACAACCCACACCUGGGAGGAGCUGCUGUCAGACCAAUAAGUUACUAACUUUGACCUAUGUCAUAUUCUUGUUCUAGAGGUAUCUAUCAGUUUGCUUUCUCCAGGUAUUCCUUAUCUUCCCUGGCUGGAAUUGUGGACCUACACGUAAGUAAAUAAAAGCAUGUCUGUUCUUGUCAAAAUGUGUUAUAUUUAGGGGGUAAUUUGUUUAAUGACUGUCUCUUGCCUUUGCCAGUCGCCGCCUACCGUGGCAGUCUUUGCCAAAUUUGGCAAUUUACCAUAUAAUUCUAUGGUGAAUGUCAGCCACAUUCCUAGUACCUGCAGGUUAGAUAGUAGCUACCUAUGCAUGACUUGUUGCAUUGCUAACAUGGGGGAGUUAUCAAUGUGGCACCAUGUGUAGAUAGCCAUAAUAACUAGUUAACCCUCAGUUAUUUCUGUUAUUGUAACAUACUAUUCAGCAUCAGUAGAACAAUAGUCAGUGCCUACUAAAUGAAGGUAGGAAUUAAUUAGGAAAGUCCUAGCUGUAAGUAUGGCUGAUACCUUGACUGAGGAUUUGCAGCCACUAUCGUUGUUUUUAACAUGCUGCUUUUUAAUCUUUUGUGUUUGUUCGGCUCUUUGUUUUUCAAGUUGCUUCAUUUUCUAACAGAUUUUGUCUUUCUCACAAGUAUCUAGGUAGUUUUUUUUUUUUUUUUUUUUUUUUUUAAUUCUUUUCCUGUAGAGCAAGAAUAUUUGAUGCUUGAUGCUGCCUGCUAGCCCUGGACACCAAUACCCAAGAAAGAGUGAGACGCCCAUCUGCCCAGACUGGAAGGAGCUACGGUGAGACGGUAAGACCUAUGCCAUUGACUUGUUCUAAUAGCCUGUGUCUUCAUAUUUCUGUUCUAUUGUGUAAGACAACCCACACCUGGGAGGAGCUGCUGUCAGACCAAUAAGUUACUAACUUUGACCUAUCAGUUUGCUUUCUCCAGGUGUUGCUUAUCUUCCCUGGCUGGAAUUGUGGACCUACAAGUAAGUAAUUGAAAUCAUGUCUGUUUUUUCAAAAUGUGUUCUAUUUAGGGGGUAACUUGUUUAAUUGCAUAAUUAAAUGACUUUCUGUCUCUUGCCUUUGCCAGUUGCUGCCUACCGUGGCAGUCUUUAUCAAAUUUGGCAAUUUACCAUAUAAUUCUAUGGUGAAUGUCAGCCCCAUUCCUAGUACCAGCUGGUUAGGUAGUAGCUACCUAUGCAUGACUUGUUGCAUUGCUAACUUGGGGGAGUUAUCAAUGUGGCACCAUGUGUCGAUAGCCUUAGUAACUAGUUAAACUUAAAGAAACAGUUAUUUCUGUUAUCGUCAUAUACUAUUCAGCAUCAGUAGAACAAAUAGUCAGUGCCUACUAAAUGAAGGUAAGAAUGCAUUAGGAAAGUCCUAGCUGUAAGUAUGGCUGAUACCUCGACUGAGGAUUUGCAGCCACUAUCAUUGUUGUUUUUAACAUGCAGCUUUUUUAUCUUUUGUGUUUGUUCUGCUCUUCAUUAUUGCUUCAUUUUCUAACAGCUUUUGUCUUUCUCACAAGUAUCUAGGUAGGUUUUUUUUAGAAUUCUUUUCCUGUAGAGCAAGAAUAUUUGAUGCUGCCUGCUAGCCCUGGACACUGAUACCCAAGAAAGAGUGAGAUGAGCAUCUUACCAGACUGGAAGGAGCUACGAUGAGACGGUAAGACCUAUGCCAUUGACUUGUUCUAAUAGCCUGUGUCUUCAUAUUUCUGUUCUAUUGUGUAAGACAACCCACACCUGGGAGGAGCUGCUGUCAGACCAAUAAGUUACUAACUUUGACCUAUCAGUUUGCUUUCUCCAGGUGUUGCUUAUCUUCCCUGGCUGGAAUUGUGGACCUACACGUAAGUAAUUGAAAUCAUGUCUGUUUUUUCAAAAUGUGUUCUAUUUAGGGGGUAACUUGUUUAAUUGCAUAAUUAAAUGACUUUCUGUCUCUUGCCUUUGCCAGUUGCUGCCUACCGUGGCAGUCUUUAUCAAAUUUGGCAAUUUACCAUAUAAUUCUAUGGUGAAUGUCAGCCCCAUUCCUAGUACCAGCUGGUUAGGUAGUAGCUACCUAUGCAUGACUUGUUGCAUUGCUAACUUGGGGGAGUUAUCAAUGUGGCACCAUGUGUCGAUAGCCUUAGUAACUAGUUAAACUUAAAGAAACAGUUAUUUCUGUUAUCGUCAUAUACUAUUCAGCAUCAGUAGAACAAAUAGUCAGUGCCUACUAAAUGAAGGUAAGAAUGUAUUAGGAAAGUCCUAGCUGUAAGUAUGGCUGAUACCUCGACUGAGGAUUUGCAGCCACUAUCAUUGUUGUUUUUAACAUGCAGCUUUUUUAUCUUUUGUGUUUGUUCUGCUCUUCAUUAUUGCUUCAUUUUCUAACAGCUUUUGUCUUUCUCACAAGUAUCUAGGUAGGUUUUUUUUAGAAUUCUUUUCCUGUAGAGCAAGAAUAUUUGAUGCUGUCUGCUAGCCCUGGACACUGAUACCCAAGAAAGAGUGAGAUGAGCAUCUUACCAGACUGGAAGGAGCUACGAUGAGACGAAGUAUCUAUCAGUUUGCUUUCUCCAGGUGUUACUUAUCUUCCCUGGCUGGAAUUAUGGACCUACACAUUUGGCAAGUUCAUUCUACUACAUGGUGUAGUAGUAGACCAUGGCAAGAACCUUAAACUUACUACCUUACCAGUCAUUGAAUCUACAUAAGACAAGACAAGACAUGACAUGACAUCUAGCAAAAAUAGUAUGGUAUGAGUUUAUUCUACUACCCGGUAUAGAAGACCAUGUAAUGAACAUUCAACAACUUCCUACCUUACCAUACUCAGCUCCAGACAUGCUAUUAGCAGAAGUCUUGACAUCUUGCCAAAAUCAUAUGAUCCUCACUUCUGCACUUUGUUCUGUGAAGUAAUCAACAGUUUCCACUAUGAAAAUCUCUGGCAACAUGAAAACCUGCCCGGGCUCCAUUGUCCCAGUUACAAAAGUUUAAACAUUUUUAUUUUUUUUCUUACAUAAAAUAUACAUGUCUUCUACUAAAUGUGUUUUUUUUUUUUUUUAACUUAUUUC